GACGAACGCUGGCGGCGUGCUUAACACAUGCAAGUCGAACGAUGAACUUGGAGCUUGCUCUGGGGGAUUAGUGGCGAACGGGUGAGUAACACGUGAGUAACCUGCCCUGGACUCUGGGAUAACUUCGAGAAAUCGGAGCUAAUACCGGAUAGGACCUUGCACCGCAUGGUGUGGGGUGGAAAGUUUUUCGGUUUGGGAUGGACUCGCGGCCUAUCAGCUUGUUGGUGAGGUAAUGGCUCACCAAGGCGUCGACGGGUAGCCGGCCUGAGGGGGUGACCGGCCACACUGGGACUGAGACACGGCCCAGACUCCUACGGGAGGCAGCAGUGGGGAAUAUUGCACAAUGGGCGCAAGCCUGAUGCAGCAACGCCGCGUGCGGGAUGACGGCCUUCGAGUUGUAAACCGCUUUUAGUAGGGAAGAAGCCUUCGGGUGACGGUACCUGCAGAAAAAGGACCGGCUAACUACGUGCCAGCCGCCGCGGUAA
rnacentral:rRNA from 1 species